rnacentral:rRNA from 1 species
UCUAGGUUUUUUUGGGCUGGCGAGGGUGACAAGCAGAAAUAUCAUAUGGUGAGCUAGCCAGACAUCUGCAAACCCAAAGACCAGGGUGGCCUUGGGAUCUUGUCCUCUCGUUGCAUGAACAUUGCUCUCCUGACCCACUGGCUUUGGCGCAUCGCCAAUGGGGAGGGAGGCCUCUGGCUUACCAUCAUCCACAAUAAGUACCUUAGGGGCCAACCUCUUGCCUUCUGCCAGCGUUCGGGUGGCUCCCAGUUCUGGCAGUCGGUGAUCCAGCUUAUUCCUGUGCUCCGCAUUGGCACGUCCAUCUCGGUUGGCUCCGGGUCCUCGACCCUGUUCUGGUUCGACCGUUUGUUAGGGUACUCCCCCCUGGUCACGCGAUUCCCAGAACUAUUCGCCAUUGCGGUUGACCCUCGGGUCUCGGUCGAGAUGGCCCUCAUUGACUUAGGGCGUCUUGCUUUCCGGUGCCCCUUCGGCCCCCUCGAGGUGGCUGCUUGGGACUCCCUCCUACAGGACAUAGCCCUUAUGCCGAUGGACGUUGAGGAGACCCCGGAUUCCCUCUUCUGGCACCUUGAGCCAUCUGCCGCUUCUCCACAAAGUCCUUGUACGCCGCCAUCGCCCCCUCGGCAGCCCCGGAGCCCUUUAGCCUGCUCUGGGACAUCCGCCUUCCUCUGA